CUACUGAUGAAGAGUCUCAGAAUAGGACGAAACAGCUGUCCAGUAC
rnacentral:hammerhead_ribozyme from 1 species